UACGUAGGGCGCGAGCGUUGUCCGGAAUUAUUGGGCGUAAAGAGCUCGUAGGCGGCCUGUCGCGUCCGCUGUGAAAACCCGGGGCUUAACCCCGGGCCUGCAGUGGAUACGGGCAGGCUGGAGGCAGGCAGGGGAGAACGGAAUUCCCGGUGUAGCGGUGAAAUACGUAGAUAUCUGGAGGAACACCGGUGGCGAAGGCGGCGACCUGGUCCUAUACUGACACUCAUACACGAAAGCGUGGGGAUCAAACAGG
rnacentral:rRNA from 1 species